GGGGGAGUAGCUAAGUGGUAGAGCGCAUGUUUCUCAUGUAUGAAACCCCAGGUUUUGCCCCAGCUCUUCCA
rnacentral:tRNA from 1 species